rnacentral:rRNA from 1 species
UGAGGAAUCUUGCGCAAUGGGCGAAAGCCUGACGCAGCAACGCCGCGUGGAGGAUGAAGGUCUUCGGAUUGUAAACUUCUGUUAAUUGGGAAAAAAUGCAUACGUCAAAUAAACGUGUGAAAUGAUGGUACCAGUAGAGAAAGCACCGGCUAACUUCGUGCCAGCAGCCGCGGUAAUACGAAGGGUGCGAGCGUUAUUCGGAAUCAUUGGGCGUAAAGGGUGCGCAGGCGGCGCGUUAAGUCAGUUGUUUAAUUCCCCGGCCUAACUGGGGGCAAGCGGCAGAUACUGGCGUGCUAGAGGGUAGGAGAGAGAAGUGGAAUUCUCGGAGUAGCGGUAAAAUGCGUAGAUCUCGAGAGGAACACCGAUGGCGAAGGCAGCUUCUUGGCCUACUGCUGACGCUCAUGCACGAAAGCGUGAGGAGCAAACAGG